rnacentral:rRNA from 1 species
UAGGCGGACGGGGGAGUAAUGUCUGGGAAACGUGCCUGAUGGAGGGGGGUAACUACUGGAAACGGUAGCUAAUACCGCAUAACGUCGCAAGACCAAAGAGGGGGACCUUAGGGCCUCUUGCCAUCGGAUGUGCCCAGAUGGGAUUAGCUAGUAGGUGGGGUAACGGCUCACCUAGGCGACGAUCCCUAGCUGGUCUGAGAGGAUGACCAGCCACACUGGAACUGAGACACGGUCCAG